rnacentral:lncRNA from 1 species
AAAAUCUUAAAAAAAAAAAAAAGCUGGGACCCCCAAGUGUGUAGUAGGGGUUUGGGGCAGAGGGGAUAGUGUGUAGGAGGCCUGGAUGCAAAUCGGUCAACAAGCUGCAGAUAGGUGGACUCAGUGUGGAAAACCCUCUCUCUGUGGGCCACCAGGACAAGAGUGAUUCCAAAUAUGGAAAAAGAGCCACUCUGCCAUUCCAAGAGGCACCAGCCAUGGAUGGUCACUCUGCCAGGUGCUGUUGAGCAGGGCCAGCGUGCAUGGGUGUGGGGGACAGAUAUAAAUGACUUUCACCAAUGAAAGCAGCGAUGGGCUCAGAGUACCGGUGCCUUCCCAGGCUGGGACAGUAAGUAGUCCAACCAGCAUGGCCACCCCACAGGGUACGUAUGUCCACAGGACCGAGAUCCAUGUUUAAUUCACACCCACAUGAUGGCAGGAAGUCACAGCAUGAGUUAGACUUGGUGGGGAGGUGUUCACAGUGAGCAAGGGCCUCCUGCUGGUGCACGGGUGACUUUGGAAGAAAGGGCUGUUGGCCAAUGGAGUAGGUUGCUCUGGUCUCUGGCCUGGGACUUCUGGGAGAUGGGCAGGAUGGCAGUCCCUGGAUUCAUCAGAAGUGCCUGGCACACUUGCCCCACUAGAUUUGCUGAUCCAAGAGCAGGGGACAAUUCCUUAUCUCAGUCGCAGGGUCAGAGGGUCCUCGGGAUGGUGUGGCUGGGUGGUGACGGUUGGGGCUGGCACUCUAUCCCUUCCCAUCCAUCCUUCACAGAAAGCCUUUCUGUAGUUCAGGGGUUGAGAUACUUGCCACCAAAUGGCCUGAUGGAGGUUAUUCUCUAACCAUUGCAUGCCCCGCCCAGAUAGAAACUCAUAAAUGAAUGAAUGCAUAUAUAAAUGUAAUACAAAUUUAAUGGAGUUUCUUUCCGGGGGGCCCUACAUCUGGGGUGACCCCAGAGGUCACAUGAGAAACACUGGAGGCAAACAAGGUAUACACCCUGAAGGAAAAGGGACAGUGAUUGCCAUUCUGUCAUUCAGAAGAGGCACAACCUAUAGCUGGGAAGGAUGCUGACCAAGCUCCGCCCCACACUUCACAUCAGAAGUGAAAAUAUUGAAGACCACAGUCUCACAAGCCAGAUUUUGAGGCUCUAGCUGUCUGGCUCAGUCCUUCACCCUGUGGCAAGUGCCCGGCCAAGGCAGCAACUCAGAAGCAACAGUGUUCUGUACGGUACUAUAUAAAAACAGGAGGGGCAGGGGAGAGGAGAGAGCUCAGUCAGGAAAGUGCUUGCUGCACAAAGCAUAAGGACCUGGGUUCAAAUCCCCAGGUCUCCUGUAAAAAGCCAGGUGUGGUGUCACAUGGGUCCUUGGGGCUCAGUGGCCUGACAGUCUAGCUCCAGGUUCAGUGAGAAACCUUGUCUGAAAAAUAAGGUGGCAAAUGAUAGAGGAAGAUGUCCAAGGACCAUUCUUUGUGACCUUUACAUGUAUAUUUACACACACACACACACAC